rnacentral:lncRNA from 1 species
GGUUUGUGGCUAAAACAAAACAAGCGAUUAAUCGGAUGUUGGAAACACUACGAAUGUGCGCUCGAGGUUCCGCUCUUCCGUCGUCCUGUUCCAUUUCCUGCCGAUGCUUUCGAAUGAACACGGAUAAAGAAGCGGGCGCGGUCCGGGUCUCCGCUUCACCGGCUCAGUCCCGAUCCGAGCUGAACGGCACAAAAGGACCGGCGGCAGGCCGGACCCCCAGGCGCAGAGACAUCACAAUGGGGCCCCGGAACAUCCAUCCCAGCCGCUCUGGGGAAGCGGGACCAAACAGCCGACCGCUAUUGUCUCGCUUGCGGGCAGCACCUCGGUGUGACCUAGCAGCGCGGUUAAGGACCCGCCUGUUUGUCCCAGGGAUUACAGCAGAGAGGCAGGACAACGCGAGGGGGCAGAUUUAUCAGCAUGCUUCACUGAUGUUGUUAUGGAGGCGCCAGAAUGCCUUCCGUCCGUCCUUCUUCCCAACAGCCGCCGGGGAAGAGUUCCGGAAAAGUCACUUUCAUUCUCUUCCGCCGUGCCGUUCGCCAGCCUGCAGCGGCCGCUUCACGUGUCGCCCAAGUGUUAUACUGGAGAAGAAAACACCCUCUGCUGUGACCCAGGACCAUUUCUUGCAGCAAACAGACGAAAGGCCGCUCGCAGUUCGGAGAACGCAAAGCUGAGCGAGACCUUCGACUGGAAUGCCAGCCCUUUGGAGGCCGUUGGCUGGUUGUCCUCAACAGGGCGAGACUUGGACGUGGACUGUCGCCCAACCGGAGGAAAGUUCUAAAUGGCACUUUGCGUGUGCAUGUGGUCAAGCUAUGGAGAGAGACGAAUGGCUUUCUGAGGCGAACCGAAGCCUUCGGAGUAACGAGGGGUUUGUAAAUCAAACGAUAAUGAGCUUUUUAAGGGAGCUGGAGAGCAGUUUUGUUUUCCAGUUACUUCCCUUUGCUGAAGUGUCUAAAAUACUAUAGUAAACAACUGUAUCCCGACACAUAAACAGCUCUGUUGCCUUGGGGACACACGCACCAUUUGUAUCAUUUCCAGGCCUACUAGCCAGGAAGGGGCAACUGGCAGUGUAGUGGUUUGAGGUGUGGUUUUUGCACCCAAAGGUCACAGGUUUGAAUCCCACGCCAGGCUGUAGUACCCUUGAGCAAAGUACUUACCCUAAACUGCUGCAGUAAAAUUGCCCGGCUCUUUCAAGCGGUAAAUAAUUGUAACUUAACAUUGUGAGUCUCUUCGGAGAAAUUCAUCAGUUAAGUAAAUAAAUGUAACCUAGUAAAGCUCA